GGGCGAUUAGCUCAGUUGGUUAGAGCGCUGCUUUCACACGGCAGAGGUCACUGGUUCGAGUCCAGCAUCGCCCA
rnacentral:tRNA from 1 species